rnacentral:rRNA from 1 species
AACGAACGCUGGCAGCAUGCCUAACACAUGCAAGUCGAACGAACCCUUCGGGGUUAGUGGCGCACGGGUGCGUAACGCGUGGGAAUCUGCCCUUGGCUUCGGAAUAACAGUUAGAAAUGACUGCUAGUACCGGAUGAUGUCGCAAGACCAAAGAUUUAUCGGCCAGGGAUGAGCCCGCGUAGGAUUAGGUAGUUGGUGGGGUAAAGGCCUACCAAGCCGACGAUCCUUAGCUGGUCUGAGAGGAUGAUCAGCCACACUGGGACUGAGACACGGCCCAGACUCCUACGGGAGGCAGCAGUGGGGAAUAUUGGACAAUGGGGGCAACCCUGAUCCAGCAAUGCCGCGUGAGUGAUGAAGGCCCUAGGGUUGUAAAGCUCUUUUACCCGGGAUGAUAAUGACAGUACCGGGAGAAUAAGCUCCGGCUAACUCCGUGCCAGCCGCCGCGGUAAAAC